rnacentral:rRNA from 1 species
AACGAACGCUGGCGGCAGGCCUAACACAUGCAAGUCGAACGAAGCCUUCGGGCUUAGUGGCGGACGGGUGAGUAACGCGUGGGAACGUGCCCUUUGGUUCGGAAUAGCCCCGGGAAACUGGGAGUAAUACCGGAUGAGCCCUUCGGGGGAAAGAUUUAUCGCCAAAGGAUCGGCCCGCGUUGGAUUAGGUAGUUGGUGGGGUAAUGGCCUACCAAGCCGACGAUCCAUAGCUGGUUUGAGAGGAUGAUCAGCCACACUGGGACUGAGACACGGCCCAGACUCCUACGGGAGGCAGCAGUGGGGAAUCUUAGACAAUGGGGGAAACCCUGAUCUAGCCAUGCCGCGUGAUCGAUGAAGGCCUUAGGGUUGUAAAGAUCUUUCAGUGGGGAAGAUAAUGACGGUACCCACAGAAGAAGCCCCGGCUAACUCCGUGCCAGCAGCCGCCGUAA